UACUAUGCUUUGCUUUUAAUGUAGGACAAUGGAAGAGGAAUGCCACAUGAUGAUAUUCCCAAUAUGUUUGGACGAGUUUUGUCUGGGACAAAAUAUGGCUUGAAGCAGACACGCGGAAAGUUUGGACUUGGUGCAAAGAUGGCAUUAAUUUGGUCCAAGAUGAGUACAGGGUUCCUAUUGAG